CUAAUAAACUUUGAUAAUGUGGCAGCUGACCUGAAUACAAUCGACACUGUUUAUUGUCCAAUAGAGGUAAAUCCAAUAAUUGCUGUGCAAUAGAUCUAUGGCGGAUUAUCUUCGAACACCCCUGGACUUAUUCAACUCAACUGCCAAAUUAUCAAAGUUUAUUAGUACUAGUCGAAAUAAUUACACGUUUAUACAUGUAUUGUUUUAUAUUUGUGACGCUGACGGGCAAUCUAAAUGGGGAUAUAUUGCCCAUAUGAAAAAAUAUCACAAUAUUUCCUGGGAUCGCGUCAAAUUAGUUGGACUACAGUUGCUUAUUCAAAGGAGACAUGAUAUCUAAGAUUUUGAGAAAUAGCACUGUGGUCAGCAUUUGUCUCACGUGAACUGUGGAGACAUUUGGAUACUGUACCUGAAUGUUCAUCACAAAGUGCUGGUGUUUUGAUAUCUACAAGAGCAGACGGCAACAGAACUGGAGAUUACCCAAAUCAAAAGAUGUUGAGGAGUACAAGAAACAACAAAAAAGCUAUGAAAAACAAAUGAAAUAAAAACAACGUGAAAUUAUAUUGAAUCAUGGCCCUGGGUUCCAGACCGUUCGACAACGAAAAAAAAAUUUUUUUUUUAGCUCACCAUAGCACAAACUGCUUAAGGUGAGCUAUUGUGAGUGACCGGCGUCCGUCGGCGUGCGUCUUGCGUAAACAUUUGCCUUGUGAACACUCUAGAGGCCACAUUUAUGACCCAAUCUUUAUGAAACUUGGUCAGAAUGUUAGUCAUGAUGAUCUCUAGGUCAAGUUUGAAAGUGGGUUAUGUGGGGUCAAAAACUCUGUCAGUAGGAUAGAUCAAAGAAAAUGCCUGUGAACACUCUAGAGACCACAUUUUUGACCCAAUCUUUAUGAAAAUUUGUCAGAAUGUUAGAAUGUUAGUCUUGAUAAUCUCUAGGUCAAG
rnacentral:lncRNA from 1 species